rnacentral:lncRNA from 1 species
AGGGAUAGAACCCACCACCAUAUGGUUCCUAGUUGGAUUUGUUUCUGCUGAGCCACAACAAGAACUCCCCAACAUUUUCUAAAUGAAAAGGACUUCAUUUCACAUUCAGGGAAUCACUGUUAAAAACAUGUGUAAACAGGCAAUAUGAAACUGCCAAACUGAAUACACCUGCAUUAAAUCCAGAUGCCAAACAAAUUCAAGGUCCAUUCAAACAGUUUCCAAUAAUGACUAAAGUAAAAAAACAAAACAUUAUUUGUGCCACAAAUUUUCCUGUAUCUUAGUGUAGAAUACUAAAUACCAAAAAUUAAAGGCUAAUUGAGAACUAUGUCUAGAUACUCAUGUUGCAACAGAAGAAAUAGUGGGGGAAAAACUGUAAUUGUAAUGUAUACAUGUAAGGAUAACCUGACCCCCUUGCUGUACAGUGGGAAAAUAAAAAAAUAAAUAAAUAAAUAAAUAAAUAAAUAAAACAGAAAUGUUAAAAAAAAAUUUAAAGGCUAUAUGUUUCUAAAAUGUUACAUAAUCUCUCCUUGAAAUCACAUUUUGCUUCCCUAUAUGGAGAAUAUUAUAGAUUAAUGAUGCUUGAGGACUCUGGCAAUGUUUCAUAUUUAAAAGAACUUUUAAAAAAAUUCUAAUAAUUAUCACAUUUGUAAAUUAAUUUGUAUGGUUAAAUAAAAUGAGGGAAUUUAUAGCCAUAUACUCAAGUUGACUUUCAUUUUUAUUCUAUAGAUUACUUUGACCACAUAGGGCUACAGACUUUUUACAUAUAAUCAGCUGAUUAUAUCCUGACACUAGGCUUGUGAGGUAUAUACUAUUGCCAUCUUACAAAUGAGGACAUUGUUUAAAAUAUAUAAGAACUACCUUAUUUACUCAAUUCUAUCUUUCUUUUGAAAAAAUUCAAUGGCAAUCCCUAUUUCUACAUCUUGUUAAAUGCAAAAUAAAUAAAAUUACUUAUAGUCAUUGAUAAACACUUUGGAAAUAUCUGUCCCUGACUUGGCAAAAACAAAUGCACCUGAUACAAUUUCUUAAUAUAAAGAAUAUAAUCUAAGGACAACAUUCCAGAAAAAUUUAAUAAUCUAUAGCCAAUUAUAUAUUUUAAAGUUGAAUAUUAUCUAAUAUGUCAUGGUCUAAUAUUUCAAAUUAAAUAAUAGUAAAUAUGCCUAUAAUUUAAAUAAACUUUCAUGAUUCCUCAACAAAGUAGUUACUAAUAGGAUGUUAUAGACAGAAUGUUAUCUUCCCACAAAGUCAAAUGUUAAGGAUUUACCUCCUAAUGUGGCUGUAAGUGAAGAUAGUGGCUUUAAGGAAGUAAUUAUGGUUUAAAAGAGGUCCUACGUGUGAAAGCUUAAUUCAAUAGAACCGGUGUCCUUAUAUGAAAAGGAAGAGACACCAGAGAUCUUUCUCUUUCUGCACACACAGAAGAAAGGCCAUGUAAGGACACAGCAGGAAGGUGGCUAUCUGCAAGCCAAGAAGAGAGGCCACACCAGAAACCAACCCUGAUACAGCCUUGACCUUGGACUUCAGCUCUAAAACUGUGAGAACUAAGUUUUUUUGUUGUUUAAGCCAUCCAGACUGUGGUAUCUAGUUAUAGCACACUGAGCAGACUAAUACAGAAGACAAAGGUUCUAUUUAUUGCUUUAGCAUAUGUGAUAUAACUUGUUACCUAGUUACCUCAGACAAGUAAAUCAAGGUUAUAUUGCAGUAACAUACGAUGCUCAGAUCUCAUUGGCAUAGGACCAUAGUGGUUUAUUUCUUGAUCACUUUACAUAACCACUGUGUCUUUGAUGCAGCUUUGCUCCAUUCUGUCUUUAUUUCAUAAUCCAGGCUGAUAGAGAAAACCCUAACAAAGAUGUUGCCCAUCCUGUCACAGAGAUUAAAAAGCCAUGAUGAACCAUGACCUGGCUCCUGAAAUGUCAAUUUAGAAAUUAUACAUUUCACUUUUGCAUGCAUGUCAUUGACCAAAGUAAACCACAUGACACUUUUUAUCAAAAGGACAAAGAAAUAUAAUCCUCCUACUGGGAAAGGGGGCCAAUAUAUAACCUGCCACAGAAGAGUGAGUCACAUAAACCUUCUUACCUAGCUAGAUGACAACACUAGUUAAAACCAAAUCAAUGCUUCUCUAAAUGUCCAUACAUACAGUAAUCAAAUAAACUAUGAUGAUUCCACAAAAAUGGGAUGUUAUGAAGCUUUGAAAAGAAUGAGGAUACGUCAGUGGACUGACAUGAAAUGAUUUCAUAUAUACAUUGUGAUGCCAAGACAAGCUGUGUAUUGUGAAAAUAAGAUACAAAAGUGUAUACUGCACAAUAUCUUUCAUGUAAGAAAAGAGUAUAAGAGUUUAUGCAUAUGAUUAUUUGUGUAAAUUAAAUAUAAGAAGGAUAAUCCAUAAACUAUUACGACUGAUUAUCUGAAGAUGUAGGUGGAUAUAGGUUGGAAAGAAUUAAGGACAUUGGAAUAUGUUAAUAGAAAUGAAGGGGAGCAAAACUUCUAUGAGUAAAUUGUUUUACAUUACUCUGACUUAUAGAACCAUCAAAUAUUUCACAUUCCCCCAAAAUAAUUAUUUUAAAUCAACUAUGAUAUGGGAGAGACAUAAAGUGCAAUAUAAACAAUAACAUGUAGAUAAAACUGAAUCAUGAAUGAGUAAUACAAGAAAAUUACACAGGUGGGAAACAAAGAACUAACCUAACUUUGGAAAACUACCUUUUGACUGUACACUGUAAGGCUAAAUAGAAAGGAACUGUACACAAAUAUGCUCUAGUUAGUAUCCCCCACAACAGGGAAGCAGAUUAGCAAUUCUGAAACUACUUUAUGAGUUUAAGAAGAUUAAGUAAAUAAGUAAAUAACAUUUUUUGUUGUUGUUUUUUAGGGCCGCACCUGUGGCAUAUGGAAUUUCCCAGGCCAGGGGUCCAAUCAGAGCUGUAGCUGCUGGCCUACGCCACAGCCACAGCAACACCAUAUCCGAGCAGUGUCCGCGACAUAGACCACAGCUCAUGGCAAUGCCAGAUCCCUAACAC